rnacentral:sRNA from 1 species
AACGACGUCGUUUUAG